UUAAUAAAACCUAAGUUUCAAAUUAAAAACCUAGGUUUUUGUUUUUAUUUUCGUUUCUUUUCUUCUCCUUUAUUCUUCUCCUCCCAAUCCCCAAAUCUCGCCGAACUCCUCCGAACUCCUCUUCUCAUCGCCCUCUCCUCUUCUCCCGAUCCAUUUCCCGUGCCUUCGCCGACUCAUCGCCGAACCCUUCCUUUCCUCAUCUUAUCACCGCCCGAACUCCUUUUCCCUCCCAAGCCGCACACCACCGAGCUCUUCUCCGUCCCCGAACAUCAUCAUCGAUCGCCCUCACGUCACCCCCGGUCGCCAUGGCUCGACGUCGGCAGACGAGACCACCCGAUUCCUCGCCCUCUACCUUCUCUCUUUGCGUCGCCUCUGCCUUACAUCGUCGACGCCACCCGACGCCGUGUCGCCCGACGGAUGCUGAGCCACAGCGUCACUGAUUCCGGUUGCUUCGCUGUUGCUGGAAGGGAGAAGCUACCAAAAUAUCUCGGACGAAUGCUUGAGUCCGAUUGUCGGCAGAUCUGCACCUAGGGCAUCGUCACCCUCGCUACUCGUGCCGUUCCCAGCAGAUCAACCACCGACGCUUCUUAUUGUCGAUGUGUUGUUGGAGUAGCGACCCGUACCACCACCGGGAGGUGACCAACUGAGGUGAGGCAUUCAAACAAUGGGUUGUUGAAAUCUCGUUGAGCAGAUCCCUGUUCUCGUCGGGGCUUACUUCCGUGAGGGAUCCAAGUUGGAGAAGAGGGUUGAUUAGGAUUUUUAUCACAGCCGACAAGCAUCCUUGAGGUGGUUAGAUUGUUGGAUGGAUUCAUGACUGCUGGAGAAGGUGUCAAGUUUUGUGCCAUUGAGAGUGUUCACCGUGGAUUAAGAGGUUGGAAAUUAAGGGGCAGCGGGUUCACUAUAGUUUCGGCCAUGAGUUCCCAGUAGCAUACAUCUUCAGCUUUUCAACCGUAGGUCAACAAUAAUUCAUCCAGUUUUAGGACGUUGAUUCGAGGCGAGUAUCUCGACGUGGGAUUUGUUCCGAUACAAACUACUGAUUAAGGCGGGU